GAUGAACGCUGGCGGCGUGCUUAACACAUGCAAGUCGAACGGUGAAGGCGGAGCUUGCUCUGCUGGAUCAGUGGCGAACGGGUGAGUAACACGUGAGCAAUCUGCCCCUGACUCUGGGAUAAGCGCUGGAAACGGCGUCUAAUACUGGAUACGAGCUGCGAAGGCAUCUUCAGCAGCUGGAAAGAAUUUCGGUCAGGGAUGAGCUCGCGGCCUAUCAGCUUGUUGGUGAGGUAAUGGCUCACCAAGGCGUCGACGGGUAGCCGGCCUGAGAGGGUGACCGGCCACACUGGGACUGAGAAACGGCCCAGACUCCUACGGGAGGCAGCAGUGGGGAAUAUUGCACAAUGGGCGAAAGCCUGAUGCAGCAAAGCCGCGUGAGGGACGACGGCCUUCGGGUUGUAAACCUCUUUUAGCAGGGAAGAAGCGAAAGUGACGGUACCUGCAGAAAAAGCGCCGGCUAACUACGUG
rnacentral:rRNA from 1 species